rnacentral:lncRNA from 1 species
CCCAAUAUCCUCAACUUCUCCAUGCAUGCAUUCGUAUCAUUAGAAAGAUUGUAUUUCUCAAUCAACAUCUUUGCCACCUUGGUGCUUUGUGUUGCUCACAAUCCAUGCUGCCUGAAAACCAAAAAUGUUAAAUACUAAAGGGGUAUGGUCCAUAACACCCCGCGAGCCCGACCAUACCCACACUUAAUCCAGAAACACUCAGCUAGUCGCAACGUUCCAAUGCAGACUACUCCCGCGGGCGCGAUGCUAUGCCAGCACAGAGGAAACACAUAGCACGGGGUGAAGGGACCUGCGACCAAUCAGCGUCCGCAAGCUACUGUACCGGAAGAUCCCCACGAUGUGCAAUCGUGCAAAAAACAAGAAGUACAGACGACAAUGAUGUCUGGACAAUCAACGUGCGCCACAACAGAAUCUCUCAUCCACCUCCACCAACGACGGACGACGACGAGACAAGGACAUUCCGAAAUCAACAUGUAGCCAAUUACGGUGCAAGACCGUACUUGUACCUCUACGGGCACUAACUAUCACGACAGAUGGGACCAAAGGGAUAUUCCUUGACGUUGACAUCUUGUCCAAUCAGCCUCUCUCCUUCUCCAACCAUUCGAAUAUAAAUACCACACUCCAAUAGUUUAAUGAUUCCGAUCUCAUUACUCUCGCUCUCACUGCAUACUCUCCAGAAAGAACUUUGCUUAUUCUCACGCUAAAAAACGGUUACGAGAAGAACCCCCCACAUGUCCUUAUCGUAACGAUUGUCACGGUGGUUCUAGUUUUCCGGAUUCAUCUCCAAUGGAUUUGAGCUCAUGAAGAUCAGAAGAGAAAGCCCCCCAGUCGAAACAUUCUUGGUUUAUCCCCCGAGGAUCAGACUAGUGUUUCCUUAAUACCAUGUUAAUAUGUAUGAUUGAAAGUCAUGUAUGUAAAAAUAAACUUGUGUACAUACUCAACUAAGGAAAUGCUAGUCUAUAAUAAUGCCUCGUAAUUUUGGUCACUACGCAUAAAAUAGUAGGCUU